UUAGGGAUUCGUCUCACUUAAUAAGCAAGCAAAACUUGCCAAAUCCUAAAGUUGGGUUUUGCUCUGGCUCAGGCAGAAAGUGCUGCCAGAGUUAUGAUAAUGUCUCCUAUAGGUCUCGUUCUUUUAGGCGUAGCCAUCGUCAGAUGCAUUGCAUGAAUAAGGGAUGCCAAUAUGGUUUUGCUCCAGAGAAUGGAGUGGAAGAAACUGUUACAUUUUAUGCACUUGAAGAAGGGAAUGAGACUGCUUAUUCAACUUUACCUAACAAUGGUGGUCCCACUACAAUGGUUCCUGCUACUUCAGGCUACUGUGUUGCAAGGCAGGGCUAUAACUCAUGCAAACCACCUUUGAAUUCUGGAGACAGUAAUGACCACUGUGAUAAUGGUG
rnacentral:lncRNA from 1 species